UCUCUCUCUCUUUCUCUUUCUCUUUCUCUUUCUCUUUUUUCUCUCUUUCUUUUUCUCUUUCUUUUUCUCUUCCUUUCUUUUAACGAAUGCGUUCACUCUUUGCAUUUCCACGUAUUCGCUCUCUUGCGUACUCAACGAACCACUUUCAUGUUCAUUUUUGUCAAACGACCAGUCAAAUUCACGUCUAAUUGCUGGAAGAACAAGCAUUAAAAAGAAAGAACUCAUUUUGUAUAUAUGUAAGCACAUAGGUACGUAAUCAUCCUUUGAAACAAAUUUACUUAAGAAACACUUUUAUCGAUCGAAGAGAACUACUAAGAAAAUUUAUGCAAUUCUUUUCUAUUUUCUUUUUUUUUUAUUAUUACCCCCAAUAUAAUCUACAUCAUACUUAUUCAUCUUAUUACUGAAAAUAAGUUACCUGUAAGGACAUUGGUAUAUUGGAAGGGGUAAGAGAGAGAGAGAGAGAAAGAGAGAAAUUUCGCGCAGUGCCGCCUGCUGGCUCGAGAUCGUACUAGAGUGACGCAGUCACCACCUGGCCUAAAACCGUGGCGCAUCCAUUCUCGAAAUUUGCCAUUUUUCUUUCUACAACGAAACGCUAGUAAUCCUAUUCUUAUACGACAGCGAUAAAACAUUCUUACGUGCAAAACCUGAAAUAAUAAGUUACAUAUGGGGGAAAGUUUGAUGCAAGCACACCAGAAGUAAUAUUCCUCCUUCGAUGAUAAAAUAGGACAGGACGCAGAGGACUUGCUGAAACGAAUUUUGUUUUAUCGAUCGGCCUGUUCUCGAUGCAUCUAAAUACACGCACACGCAAAUCUACCUGACAGGCACGCAUGAUCGUCCCGCUUCGAUCGACGUUACAAUGACCCGAGGGUCAAUAAUUGUAACGUGAUUGGUCCGAUACAUUUGAUGAGAGGAAAGAAAAAAACUAUAUUAUUAUUCAUUGUUUACAUUGAUUAUUUUUAUGAUUACUUUUAUAAUAAUUUUGCUUGAGAUUGUACAUAUGUAUUAAUGUUAGAUUAUUUUUAAAUAAACGCAAAGAUAUUUUUCUUUUUUUCCUUUUCAAUCGGUAUCGUAGAAUUUUUACGUAUUUCCAAAAUUAUUUACCGAUCGAGAAGCAACGUCUUGAUAAACUUUUUUCGAGAAAUUAUGGCCACUGUCGAUACGAAUUAUUAUUAUUUGUAUGUAAGAAAAAAAAAAUAAAUA